rnacentral:rRNA from 1 species
GGGAGGCAGCAGUAGGGAAUAUUGCUCAAUGGGCGAAAGCCUGAAGCAGCAACGCCGCGUGUGUGAUGAAGGCCUUCGGGUCGUAAAGCACUUUUCUGGGAGAUGAGAAAGGACAGUAUCCCAGGAAUAAGUCUCGGCUAACUACGUGCCAGCAGCCGCGGUAAAACGUAGGAGGCAAGCGUUAUCCGGAUUCACUGGGCGUAAUGCGCGUGCAGGUGGCGCGGUAAGUUGGGCGUGAAAUCUCCCGGCUCAACUGGGAGAGGUCGUCCAAUACUACCGUGCUUGAGAGCAGAAGAGGAAGAUGGAAUUCCCGGUGUAGUGGUGAAAUGCGUAGAUAUCGGGAGGAACACCAGUGGCGAAGGCGAUCUUCUGGUCUGUUUCUGACACUCAGACGCGACAGCUAGGGUAGUAAACGGGAUUAGAGACCCCGGUAAUCCUAGCCGUAAACGAUGUGAACUUGGCGUUGGUGGGUUAAACUCCAUCAGUGCCGUAGCANACGCGAUAAGUUCACCGCCUGGGGACUACGGCCGCAAGGUUGAAACUCAAAGGAAUUG